GACUGAAUUUAAGAAUAAAGCCUAAUCUUUUAUUUCUUUACUUUUUUCUUUAUUCUCUUUCUUCUUUUCUUAUCUUUUAUCUUUGAUAAGUUUUUAUAUAGAAUACUUAAAAAAC
rnacentral:rRNA from 1 species